ensembl:lncRNA
CUCCCCUUCGCGCACACGUCACGAGGCUCCGAGCACCGAGGGCGCGCGCACUCUCACGAGCCGGAGACUGCGCCCAUCAUCACACCGAGAGCCAGCAGGCUGAACAAUGGCAGCAUCCAGCACCUGAUCCACAGAUGGAGACGUGCUGGAGCUGAGGAGGGCUCUUCAGCGGAGAUCUGGACACACGCUGCCGCUGUCAUCAGAGAUGGAGCCGUAGAGGAGCGCGGAUCAUCGGGCUGUUCUCCACCACUGACGGGAGGCCCGGGAUGCGCGAAAACAUGCACAAGUGCCUCUGAUUAAGGAAAUUAUUUCCACAUAUGAGCUGUUUCGUGGCGUUUAAAGCUCUCGGCGUUAAGAAAUAAAUGCUAUCUGGCGGCGUAAGGAACGGGCAGGAGUGAUAAAACAAAGUCCCACUCGAGCAGGACAGACUCCCAUUGAUGGACAGCAAACAGGUCCGGAUCAGCUCAACAGAAACCAGUGAACUGGACCAGACAGGAGACGACUCGUUCUGCCUUAUUGCUAAAUUGGCCUUAAAGAAGCACCACUUACCACGAACACUGUCAACACGGACUCCUUCAGCAACUGAUGAGUCCUCAAACCACACGAUAUCCCUCACACCCUGUGCUUUCAAGGGCUUGAGCCCACUAGGCAUUUCCAAGAAU